rnacentral:rRNA from 1 species
UACGUAGGGUGCGAGCGUUAAUCGGAAUUACUGGGCGUAAAGCGUGCGCAGGCGGCGCGUUAAGUCAGGUGUGAAAGCCCCGAGCUUAACUUGGGAAUUGCGCUUGUGACUGGCGUGCUGGAGUGUGGCAGAGGGAGGUGGAAUUCCACGUGUAGCAGUGAAAUGCGUAGAUAUGUGGAGGAACACCGAUGGCGAAGGCAGCCCCCUGGGUCAACACUGACGCUCAUGCACGAAAGCGUGGGGAGCAAACAGG